rnacentral:rRNA from 1 species
GAUGAACGCUGGCGGCGUGCCUAAUACAUGCAAGUCGAGCGAACAGACGAGGAGCUUGCUCCUCUGACGUUAGCGGCGGACGGGUGAGUAACACGUGGAUAACCUACCUAUAAGACUGGGAUAACUUCGGGAAACCGGAGCUAAUACCGGAUAAUAUAUUGAACCGCAUGGUUCAAUAGUGAAAGACGGUUUUGCUGUCACUUAUAGAUGGAUCCGCGCCGCAUUAGCUAGUUGGGAAGGUAAAGGCUUACCAAGGCGACUAUGCGUAGCCGACCUGGUAGGGUGAUCGCCCACACUGGAGCUGAGCCGCGGUCCAGACUCCUACGGGAGGCAGCAGUAGGGAAUCUUCCGCAAUGGGCGAAAGCCUGACGGAGCAACGCCGCGUGAGUGAUGAAGGUCUUCGGAUCGUAAAACUCUGUUAUUAGGGAAGAACAAAUGUGUAAGUAACUAUGCACGUCUUGACGGUACCUAAUCAGAAAGCCACGGCUAGCUACGUG